rnacentral:siRNA from 1 species
UACAGUAGCCGAUUGACCAUGU